rnacentral:rRNA from 1 species
GACACGACUCUAAAUAACGUCCCUAUUGCAAGUCCGACGUUGGGCAACAUAACCGAAUUGACGGGGAACCCUUAAAGCCUACACGACCAACUUACCCGGGAAACCGGGUAGGGGUUAAUGGUAACACCAUUAGAGGUAAGACUGUGUAGGAUGAACAAUAGGCGAUCCGCAGCGAAGGCCCUAAGUGCUCUGGCAUACGGGACACGUUCACAGACUAAGUGGUUAUGGGUGGCCACAAUUCUAGUGGCUGCUUCAGAUAUAGUCGGGUCCGUAAGUAAACUUACGGAGUAUUCCUAUUCCUAGGUGGUAACAGUACUCCUAGAACCGUAAGGAAGCAAACCGUUCCGUAGGUGAACCUGCGGAAGGAUCAUUA